rnacentral:snRNA from 1 species
GUGAUAGCUUCUGCAGCAUAUAUACUAAAAUUGGAAUGAUACAGAGAAGAUUAGCAUGACCUCUGCAAGGAUGAUAGCAAAUUCAUGAAGCGUUCUGUU